UGUCGAGACUCGCGCGGGACUGUGGUGUGUGCACGCUUUCGAGCGCGCGAAAAAAAAGGCUGUAGUUUUUUCAAUUUUCAUCAAAAUCGAGUCAACCAAAAUGAAUAUUAUUCCUCAAGAGAAUUAGUUAUGAUCCCCGGAGAUCCUGCGGAGAUCUCAACGAUUCCUAGUGUGAAAAAGUAUAGAGAAUGUGAAACCGUUGGCAUCGCCUGCUCGUUUUUGCUCCAUUGGUCAAAAAUACGCAUUCUUUGAAGCAGUGUUUUGUCGACUCGGUCGGAGCCUCGUGGCCCGCCUCGUGGGAUUAGUGUAGCGGGGCGACGCAGACAACGUCAUUCAUCGAAACAACGUCGAUGAUGAGAAUUCAGAUAGCGAUUAGUAUGUAUCUUUAAAAAUUAUGUUAUUUUGUUUUAUAAGAAAAAAAUCUGUAUGAAUUAAAGGAAUUAAUUUACAAAAUA